rnacentral:lncRNA from 1 species
UUAAACGCUUUUUUCACAUAUAAGAAUUUAUUUCCGGUAAGCCAUUUUACUCGUGAUAUGGGGAAUGAAAUCAAGCUGCAACAUUUCCCAAAUCGUCCCUUCAUCUCCUCUCCUCUCCUCUCUCUUCGGCGUCACCUCUUCUCCUCUCUCCGGCAGUUCAAUACGCAGGUACAGGGAUUUUGAAACCUUUGAUUUUCUGUUUUCUUUUCUUUUGAAAAGUUAUGGGUUUUCUCUUAUGAGUUUAUCUGUAUCUUCUUCCCUAAUAAGAUUGAAAAUUAAUGGGUAAUCUGUGUUAUCUUAAUUCAUCUCUUUUAGAAGCCGGCAAUCAAAUUAUUUAUUCUGUAGUUCUGAAAUUUUUUAGAUUCUUAAUUGUUUCAUGAGUCCUUAACUUCUCAUUUUCCUUCUCCUUUUGGUUGGUGCUGACUGUAUCUCUUUUAAAUUUAGCUUUUAUCUUUCACAAAAUAAAUUUUAAAAAAAAGGUUUUCAUUUUCGAAAUGGAUGACUUAAUAUUAUUUGAUGGAAUUAACAACGAAAGGAUAAACUUUUUGUUGUUCUUUAGCAACUUGCUUUUUGCUUUUCAUUUCUUUUGAAAGUUCAAAACAUAAGAUUUUUGUAUAAAGAUGAUUUGAAGUACUCUACUCAGAUUUUGUCAGAACUUCCAACCUCAAUAGUUGAUUCGGAUCCAAUACGAUACAGGUAACUGAUUAUGUUUUUCUUAGAGUUUCAAGGUGCGCGUGAGAUUCUUUUUCUGGUUUGGGAUGUGUUUUUUAUUUGGUUUUCAAAGUGGGUAAAAAGUUUUCAUCAGUUUAGUUUGAAGGGUUUUUUGGAAUAGGGGAUUGGUCAUUGGGAGCAAUAUCGGAAAAUUAAGUAUAGGAGCUGUCAUUGGAUUAGCUUGAGUGGCUUUGGUUUCUUAUUUGGUUAUAAUGUUUUAGCAUCAUGUGCUUGUGACUUGAAUUAUAAGGAGCGGUGGAUUGAGUAAUUUUUAUGACAUUGUGCAACUUGAACCUGAUAGGCUUAUCUUCUUACAAGAUUUGGUUGUUGCUUUUAAUUUACCUUCUUACAUUAUUGUUUAUAAUGUUAUGUUGUGGUACAUUUGAUCUUGAUUUUGGUGCUUUAUGUUGUGUAAUUUUCUUUUAAGAAUUCUAUCUUUAAUAGAUACUCAUUUUACUGAGAAAAAACAGUUGUUUAAUAAAUCCAAAAACUUCAAGAGUUCCAACUAUGAGAGGAGCUUUAAGAAACCCAAAAAUGGAGAUAACCUUGAGAAACUCCAAAAUGGAGAGACAUAACAUGGGAGAAAAUCCCAAAAGUAAUAUGGAGAGAAACUCCAAAACAAAAAUUGAGAGAGAUGAAACGCAAAGAACAAUAUAAGAGAGCUUUGAGGGGAUUUAGCUAUGAAUAUUUGCUCGUUUUCCAUAGAUGAUGUCAAUUGUUUCAUUCACUCUAAGACAAAUCAAGUUUGGAGAUGGACUUGUGUGUUCUCAGAUUCUUGCAAGAUGAAGGUAAAUUAUGGAGGUGUUGAAAUUUGUGCUUUAGAAUGUUCUUCGAUGCUGAAGUCAGUGAGUGAGCUUAGUAAUUGUGUAAGUGGGUGAAAAUGAAGAAGAGAGAUGGGAAGAUAGAGAUGAAAGAACUCUUAUAAGGGAUUAAUACCUCUAAUUUUAUACUUGGUCCCUAAGGCUGCUUCUUACUGGUUUGUGGAUGUAGAAUGAUCCCACAUUAUACCAAGUUGAUGGAGGUAGAAUAGUCUCACAUUUUCCUUAUUCACGUUAUGGAUUGAGCCAUGGAGAUGCGCUCAGCAAUUUUCAGAUUCUUGUAAGACGAAGGUAAACUAUAGGGGAGCCAGAGCUUGUGCUCUGAAACACUCCCCGAUGCUUAUCAAUGGGUGAGCUUGGUAAUUGUGUAAGAUAAUGGGAGAGAUGAAAAUGAAGAAGAGAGAUGAGAAAAUCAAGAUGAAGAUGAGAGAACUUUUGUAAGGGAUUAAUACCCCUAGUCUUAUACUUGGUCCCCGAGGUUGCACCUUAUUGAUUGGUGGAUGUAGAAUGAUCCUACAUGGUAUGAAGUUGGUGGAUGUAGCAUUAUAUAUUCUUAUGAAUCUUGAGAUACUAAUUUAUUUUUUGUAGAUUUUAAUGCAUUUUGUGCAAUCAUUCGCGAUUUAAUUAUUUUGUUCUCAUAUUUUGUUGAUGUGGUGUAAUUAUGUUAGAGUCGAAAAAUGUUGAACUCUUACUGAAAAUAUUCAAUGACUUCUAAUAAUUUGUCGCAUCAUCGAGUAUGUGUCAUUUUGUGUUAUAAUUGCUUUCAAUGUAAUAUAUAUUUAUAUAAUUUUUUAAUGAUUGGUUUUUUUUUUCCUGAAAGAAAGAUACAACAAAACUUGCCGUUGGCGGUGAAAGACAAGUUUGGUCAAUACAAACAAAGACUUCAGCCGUAUCAAGAAUGGAACAUUGAUAAAUGGUUUUGCCACAACUCAAGCAAGACAUAUUUAGGGUGACUAUAAGCACCUAACAUGAUAAGGGAACUAGCCUUGAAGGGUUCAAAGUGAUAAAUAAAAUAAUAAAAAAGAAUUGAGCAUUCACCA